AGUGAACGCUGGCGGUAGGCCUAACACAUGCAAGUCGAACGGCAGCACAGAGGAGCUUGCUCCUUGGGUGGCGAGUGGCGGACGGGUGAGGAAUACAUCGGAAUCUACUCUGUCGUGGGGGAUAACGUAGGGAAACUUACGCUAAUACCGCAUACGACCUACGGGUGAAAGCAGGGGAUCUUCGGACCUUGCGCGAUUGAAUGAGCCGAUGUCGGGUUAGCUAGUUGGCGGGGUAAAGGCCCACCAAGGCGACGAUCCGUAGCUGGUCUGAGGGGAUGCGCAGCCACACUGGAACUGAGACACGGUCCAGACUCCUACGGGAGGCGGCAGUGGGGAAUAUUGGACAAUGGACGCAAGCCUGAUCCAGCCAUACCGCGUGGGUGAAGAAGGCGUUCGGGUUGUAAAGCCCUUUUGUUGGGAAAGAAAUCCAUCUGGUUAAUACCCGGGUGGGAUGACGGUACCCAAAGAAUAAGCACCGGCUAACUUCGUGCCAGCAGCCGCCGUAA
rnacentral:rRNA from 1 species